AAUGSAGCCAURGGAGCUGAUCAACAGUCAGGAUGAAGGCCCAUAUGCAGUUUGGACCCRAGUUGGAUGGGUCAUCAAUGGUCCACUCCGGAGUGAAAGGAACAAAACAGGCUGCCAUUCUUUCACUGCAAACAGGAUUUCUAUUAAACAUCUGGAAACAAUGUUGACUGGAUGCAAUCAGGACUUCAAUGAAAAAACAUCCCAACAGCAGAUUGAAAUGUCCAGAGAUAUCAAGUUCAUGAAUGCCAUGAAUAAUUCAGCACAAUUAAAAAAUGGACAUUAUUGCAUUGAUUUGCCUUUUAAGGCUGAAAAUACAAUCUUGCCUGUAAAGUGUUGUGUUGCAGAGCGUCUUCCAAGCCUGAAAGGAAAGUUUUCAAAGAACUGGAUCACCGUCCUAAAGAACAUCAGUGAUGAAGCAGAGGGCAAGAACAUAAACCUGGGAAAAGAUGCUACCAGCUUGUCUUCCCAGUUCCAAGAUGGACAGGUGUUGCUGGCUGAGGAGAGUCGCCAGAACCUGCAGAUCGCUACAAAGUUGGGUCAAGCAGAAAAUGACCAGAACAGACUGUCGGAGCAUUUGGAGGAAGAAGAGGAUGCCUGUCUAGGGCUUCAGAUGGAGAAGGUGACCGUUGAAGGAAAGAUGGCGUUAGCAGACAACCAGCUGCAUGAACUUGGUCCAGUGGCUGGUAAUGGUGUCCUCAGAGUGGGUGGACAUCUUUGAGGAGCUGCAGUGCCACCUGGGGCUGGACAUCCAGUUCUCCUGUAUAAAGCCAUACAUGUAGCAAUAUUAAUUCUGUGUUACAUUUACCAUCUGCUUGGUCCAACAGGAAGAAACCACAUGUUGUUCAGAUUGUGUCAGAGAUGCUGGAUAAUCAGUGCAAACUCUGCUGUCAAAAGGAUCCUGUCUGACUGUGUUACCCGCAGAAGAAAUUGAGGAAAACUUCUGGAACAAAAAUGGCUGAGGAAAAGGUACCACCAGACAAGCCUCCUUUCACAGAUGUUGGAGUUCAUGGUGCUGUUUAUUUGAAAGUGGUUCAUGCUCUGGAUGCCACUUCUUGUAGUAAUGUAAUCAGAAGAUUCAUCUGCAGGAGUGGUUCAGUUUCUUCCAUCAGGUCAAAGGAUGAAACACUGCAAACUGUUUUCUGUGAAGCUGAAGCCAUUCUGAAUGAAAGACCCAUCACUUUCGUCUCUGGUCAUCACAUCGUAAUGAAGAACAAACCUGUUCUGCCACAAGAUAGAUCUGAGUAUCUGCCCUUAAUGCAGGAAAGACAAAAGUGGAUGAGAUGAAGAAACAUUUCUCCUGGAGACAUUGUCUUCAUUGCAGAUGCUACAGCAGCCAGAGGAUGUUGUCAGAUGGGGACAAUACAAGAUCUGGAGAUGGAGACCACUACAUUAGAUCAAAGCCUUGUCUUUGAUAGGACCAGUCAAAGUUCAAUACAAUCACACUGAAUAGGAGCUAUUUUUUUAAAGGGGCAGUGUUGUGUUUUCCAUACACACUGUACCAUUUCAUAGCACAAUUAAGUAACUAUGUUACCUUCAGUUAUCAAAAUGCUAUAUAUUUUGGGAAACUCUGUCACCACCCGUAAGUCCCUUUCUUCCCUCACUAGAUGUCUUCAGGGAGCAGGAUGGGAGCCGAGCCUCUCAGAGGUUCUCCCACACACCUCCUAUUCAUCUUCCGUCAUUAGGUGGAGCAUAAGAAGAGCUGGCUGCCGGUCCUCCGAUGCCAGUGUUUGCCUAUGUGAUACGCUGCUACUCGGGAUUCCAGAUCGUGGUUUCCUCCCUCCGAUCCCCUCCAUGAUGCUGCCUGCACGCAUAAGUGCCACUGGCAUCAUCCUACCUCAGCACCCCGCUGGACUCAUGUCUCUCUUUUGUCCCCAGUGUUCCGAGCCAGCCUCCCAGUGUGGGUUUUGUUUCCGUCUUGGACACCUGCAUUAUCCCGCUUUUUCCACUAGUUGUAAAUAAAGCUAAAGAACUGUUCUGA